rnacentral:rRNA from 1 species
UACGUAGGGUGCAAGCGUUAAUCGGAAUUACUGGGCGUAAAGCGUGCGCAGGCGGUUAUAUAAGACAGUUGUGAAAUCCCCGGGGCUCAACCUGGGAACUGCAUCUGUGACUGUAUAGCUAGAGUACGGUAGAGGGGGAUGGAAUUCCGCGUGUAGCAGUGAAAUGCGUAGAUAUGCGGAGGAACACCGAUGGCGAAGGCAAUCCCCUGGACCUGUACUGACGCUCAUGCACGAAAGCGUGGGGAGCA